AGGAAAACAAAGAGUCAAGGCUUAUAAGGGUAAGGGCAGCAGGGUGUGGUGAGUUGCAAUCCAAGGACCCUGCUGGAGCUCCUGAAUACAGCUUCCUGUAGGUGGCAAUCUCGAUGUCCAGGGCCAUCUUGACAUUUAGGAGGUCCUGGUACUCCCGGAGAUGGCGGGCCAUCUCGUCCUUCAUGUUGUGAAUGUCCUCCUCCAGACGGCCGAUGGUGUCCUGGUAACCACCUGACUCCAUGGAGAAGUUCUCCUCCAUCUCUCUCAUCUGGCGCUCCAUGGACUCAUUCUGGGGCAGCAGCAAAAGUGACAGUUUAUCAGUGAAAAAAACUUUGGUUAUUAAAUUGCGUUCAAACGCA